CCACAUCAGGUACGAUCCCCAAAGUUAAGCAACGUUGAUCCUGCUUAGUACCUAGAUGGGUGACUGCUUGGGAAUACCACGUGCUGUAA